rnacentral:lncRNA from 1 species
UUUUGUUUAAGGAUGAACUUAGGUGAGGUAAGGUAAAAAAUUAGAAAUUAAGAAAUUAAAUUUGAUACUAUAAGCUGGUAGAUUAAGGAUAAAGAUAAGCUAAAAAUAUUGAUAGGUCAUGGAGCUCCUUUUCGAGAUAUUUGAGAUUUAAAAUAUGGCGGGAAAAGGCUGACUCGGACUUUUACCCUAUAUUUGCAUUGGUAUUAUUUGGGAAUCAAAACAAAAGAAAGAAAAUCAAGAAUCUUCUAAAAUUUUGGUAAAUGACCUUUCAUGAGCUAUUAAGUCUUAUAUGAAAAAAUAAAUGGGUGUUAUGGGGCAAAAUAUUUUACAUUGUAUUGUAUGGAAAAACACCAAGGAUUCCGAACAUUUGACACAAAUUCCAAAACCUCACCUAAGUACAUCCUUAAAUAUU